rnacentral:rRNA from 1 species
UACGGAGGGUGCAAGCGUUGUCCGGAAUCACUGGGCGUAAAGGGCGCGUAGGCGGCUCAUGAAGGCUGUGGUGAAAGUCCGGGGCUCAACCCCGAAUCGGCCGUCGAUACUCCCGGGCUUGAGCACUGUAGAGGCUAAUGGAAUUCCGGGUGUAGCGGUGGAAUGCGUAGAGAUCCGGAAGAACACCGGUGGCGAAGGCGGUUAGCUGGGCAGUUGCUGACACUGAGGCGCGACAGCGUGGGGAGCAAACAGGG